UUUGAGGGGGGCUGCUCCUAGUACGAGAGGACCGGAGUGGACGCAUCCCUGGUGUACCGGUUGUCACGCCAGUGGCAUUGCCGGGUAGCUAAAUGCGGAAGCGAUAACCGCUGAAAGCAUCUAAGCGGGAAGCGUGCCCCAAGAUGAGACUUCCCGGAGGCUUGACCUCCCUGAAGGGUCGUCCAAGACCAGGACGUUGAUAGGCGGGAUGUGCAAGGGCUGUGAGGCCUUCAGCUAACCCGUACUAAUUGCCCGUGCGGCUUGACCCU
rfam:Betaproteobacteria bacterium RIFCSPLOWO2_02_FTLL_66_14 rifcsplowo2_02_scaffold_2155, whole genome shotgun sequence.